CUCUUAAAACUCUUACGAGUUUAAUGCUCUGAUACAAAAAAAAAAACUAAUUUUUGAUCAACAAAAAGGACUUGACUUAAAGUGUACAAGGUCCUAGGAAUCAACCAAAGUUCUAUGGGACUUGUGUCUUUGAUGUUGACUUUGAUCUUGGUAGCUGGGAGGCCUAGACUUGGAGGUAGCAUGAUCUUGGUAGCUGGGAGGCCUAGACUUGGAGGUAGCAUGAACUUGGUAGCUGGGAGGCCUAGACUUGGAGGUAGCAUGAACUUUGUAGCAGGGAGGCCUAGACUUGGAGGUAGCAUGAACAUGGUAGCUGGGAGGCCUAGACUUGGAGGUAGCAUGAACUUUGUAGCAGGGAGGCCUAGACUUGGAGGUAGCAUAAACAUGGUAGCUGGGAGGCCUAGACUUGGAGGUAGCAUAAACAUGGUAGCUGGGAAGUCUAGCCUUGGUGGGAGCAGCAAUGGUGUUCACACUACCCAAUACCCUUUAGUAUUAUAAUAUUUUAAAACACACUUCUUAUUACCCAGAAUUUGUGGUUUUCCAUGUUGUUGUGCAUUCUGGACUGGUGGUUUUACUUUGGGUUUUCCAUCAUCAAUUAAUACUUGCUUGUAUGCUGGCUCAACUACCAUUUUCUGUGGGGUCUCACCUCUUGGACCAGUCAACACAUGGCCGUUCAGCAUCAGUGCUCGUCUUUCGUAAUCCUUAUUUUUAAAAAUUGCAAAGCCAUAUCUACGAUGACCUCUGCGUCUUCGUGGCAUUAUGAAUUUGAUUAAACCGCCGGAUUUUUUCAGAAGCUGGUUUACAGUCCUGUACCUGCACAAAGUGGGUACAUUGGCUACAAAAACUCCAUACCCUGUAGGGUUGGGGAUGGUGGGUUUGGGGAUGGUGAUGGGUUUGGGGAUGGUGAUGGGGUUGGGGAGGGUAUUGGGGUUGGGGAGGGGUGUUGAGCUACCAGCAUCAUCAGUGUGUAGAGGUACUAACUCACCACUCACCACUGUGUCACUGGUGCUGGUAUGUGUAAGUGACUUGAGAAGUCUGGUACGGAAGAAUCGCCAGGUGUAAGAUACAACACUCCUAACACUGUCACAACAACCCACAGAUGAACCAGCAUCACUUGGGAGGAUGAAUUAUCCUGGCAGGAUUCUUUC